rnacentral:rRNA from 1 species
CACGGGUGAGUAACGCGUAUGCAACUUACCUGUCAGAGGGGGAUAACCCGGCGAAAGUCGGACUAAUACCGCAUGAAGCAGGGGCCCCGCAUGGGGAUAUUUGCUAAAGAUUCAUCGCUGAUAGAUAGGCAUGCGUUCCAUUAGGCAGUUGGCGGGGUAACGGCCCACCAAACCGACGAUGGAUAGGGGUUCUGAGAGGAAGGUCCCCCACAUUGGUACUGAGACACGGACCAAACUCCUACGGGAGGCAGCAGUGAGGAAUAUUGGUCAAUGGGCGUAAGCCUGAACCAGCCAAGUCGCGUGAGGGAUGAAGGUUCUAUGGAUCGUAAACCUCUUUUAUAAGGGAAUAAAGUGUGGGACGUGUCCUGUUUUGUAUGUACCUUAUGAAUAAGGAUCGGCUAACUCCGUGCCAGCGGCCGCGGUAAUACGGAGGAUCCGAGCGUUAUCCGGAUUUAUUGGGUUUAAAGGGUGCGUAGGCGGCCUUUUAAGUCAGCGGUGAAAGUCUGUGGCUCAACCAUAGAAUUGCCGUUGAAACUGGGAGGCUUGAGUAUGUUUGAGGCAGGCGGAAUGCGUGGUGUAGCGGUGAAAUGCUUAGAUAUCACGCAGAACCCCGAUUGCGAAGGCA